GACGAACGCUGGCGGCGUGCUUAACACAUGCAAGUCGAACGAAGAGCGAUGGAAGCUUGCUUCUAUCAAUCUUAGUGGCGAACGGGUGAGUAACGCGUAAUCAACCUGCCCUUCAGAGGGGGACAACAGUUGGAAACGACUGCUAAUACCGCAUACGAUCUGACCUCGGCAUCGAGGAUGGAUGAAAGGUGGCCUCUAUUUAUAAGCUAUCACUGAAGGAGGGGAUUGCGUCUGAUUAGCUAGUUGGAGGGGUAACGGCCCACCAAGGCGAUGAUCAGUAGCCGGUCUGAGAGGAUGAACGGCCACAUUGGGACUGAGACACGGCCCAGACUCCUACGGGAGGCAGCAGUGGGGAAUCUUCCGCAAUGGACGAAAGUCUGACGGAGCAACGCCGCGUGAGUGAUGACGGCCUUCGGGUUGUAAAGCUCUGUUAAUCGGGACGAAAGGCCUUCUUGCGAAUAGUUAGAAGGAUUGACGGUACCGGAAUAGAAAGCCACGGCUAACUACG
rnacentral:rRNA from 1 species